rnacentral:lncRNA from 1 species
GGCAUUUGCGAGUUUUCGCUCACUCAUGUUCGAGGGAAAAUUGCUUGCGUGCAUGGGGAGGAUGGAUGCGUUUGACCAUAAGAAGCACCCAAAAUCCUAAAAUUGUAGAUCGCCUGUCGUCACACGCCAUGCCACGUGUGAAAAUGUCUGUUGUUUAGCUUAGUGAGAGGCAAGUAGGUCGGACUCGGGGGUCAGUUUCAGAGCAAUUGAGGCAAAGGGGUUGGGCCAUGAGACCAUGUGCCUAAUUAGCACCAUUGUCAAAAUGGACGUUUUCCAAUUCCAGGUAAAACACGAGGCGUUCCCAGUGUGACUUCGAUCACGCAGCCACGGCAGCCAGGUCUAACAACGGGCUUGUGAGGUGCCUCGGACUACAAGGUUGCACGGUUUCAACAUCUGCGAAGUAGUUAGUGGUUUGCGCCUGCCAUUCUAGUCUUCACGGAUGUUCAUUGUGGCUUUCCAGGUUACUUGGAUAGGGACUCGGUGAUAUGCCCGCAUGCAGGUUUGGGCAGGGAACAUCACAAGAACUUACAAGACCAAGUGCUUGCGGCAUUUGCGAGUUUUCGCUCACUCAUGUUCGAGGGAAACAUGCUUGCGUGCAUGGGGAGGAUGGAUGCGUUUGACCUUAAGAAGCACCCAAAAUCACGCGUGAAAAAAUGUCUGUUGUUUAGAUUAGUGAGAGGCAAGUAGGUCGGACUCGGGGGUCAGUUUCAGAGGAAUUGAGGGAAGGGGGUUGGGCCAUGAGACCAUGUGCCUAAUUAGCACCAUUGUCAAAAAUGGACGUUUUCCAAUUCCAGGCAAAACACGAGGCGUUCCCAGUGUGACUUCGAUCACGCAGCCACGGCAGCCAGGUCUAACAACGGGCUUGUGAGGUGCCUCGGACUACAAGGUUGCACGGUUUCAACAUCUGCGAAGUAGUUAGUGGUUUGCGCCUGCCAUUCUAGUCUUCACGGAUGUUCAUUGUGGCUUUCCAGGUUACUUGGAUAGGGACUCGGUGAUAUGCCCGCAUGCAGGUUUGGGCAGGGAACAUCACAAGAACUUACAAGACCAAGUGCUUGCGGCAUUUGCGAGUUUUCGCUCACUCAUGUUCGAGGGAAACAUGCUUGCGUGCAUGGGGAGGAUGGAUGCGUUUGACCUUAAGAAGCACCCAAAAUCCUAAAAUUGUAGAUCGCCUGUCGUCACACGCAUGCCACGCUGAAAAUGUCUGUUAUUUAAUUAGUGAGAGGCAAGUAGGUCGGACUCGGGGGUCAGUUUCAGAGGAAUUGAGGGAAGGGGGUGGGGCCAUGAGACCAUGUGCCUUAUUAGCACCAUUGUCAAAAAUGGACGUUUCCCAAUUCCAGGCAAAACACGAGGCGUUCCCAGUGUGACUUCGAUCACGCAGCCACGGCAGCCAGGUCUAACAACGGGCUUGUGAGGUGCCUCGGACUACAAGGUUGCACGGUUUCAACAUCUGCGAAGUAGUUAGUGGUUUGCGCCUGCCAUUCUAGUCUUCACGGAUGUUCAUUGUGGCUUUCCAGGUUACUUGGAUAGGGACUCGGUGAUAUGCCCGCAUGCAGGUUUGGGCAGGGAACAUCACAAGAACUUACAAGACCAAGUGCUUGCGGCAUUUGCGAGUUUUCGCUCACUCAUGUUCGAGGGAAACAUGCUUGCGUGCAUGGGGAGGAUGGAUGCGUUUGACCUUAAGAAGCACGCCAUGCCACGCGUGAAAAUGUCUGUUGUUUAGAUUAGUGAGAGGCAAGUAGGUCGGACUCGGGGGUCAGUUUCAGAGGAAUUGAGGGAAGGGGGUUGGGCCAUGAGACCAUGUGCCUAAUUAGCACCAUUGUCAAAAAUGGACGUUUUCCAAUUCCAGGCAAAACACGAGGCGUUCCCAGUGUGACUUCGAUCACGCAGCCACGGCAGCCAGGUCUAACAACGGGCUUGUGAGGUGCCUCGGACUACAAGGUUGCACGGUUUCAACAUCUGCGAAGUAGUUAGUGGUUUGCGCCUGCCAUUCUAGUCUUCACAGAUGUUCAUUGUGGCUUUCCAGGUUACUUGGAUAGGGACUCGGUGAUAUGCCCGCAUGCAGGUUUGGGCAGGGAACAUCACAAGAACUUACAAGACCAAGUGCUUGCGGCAUUUGCGAGUUUUCGCUCACUCAUGUUCGAGGGAAAAUUGCUUGCGUGCAUGGGGAGGAUGGAUGCGUUUGACCUUAAGAAGCACCCAAAAUCCUAAAAUUGUGAUCGCUGUAGAACACGCCACACGGUGAAAAUGUCUGUUGUUUAGAUUAGUGAGAGGCAAGUAGGUCGGACUCGGGGGUCAGUUUCAGAGGAAUUGAGGGAAGGGGGUUGGGCCAUGAGACCAUGUGCCUAAUUAGCACCAUUGUCAAAAAUGGACGUUUUCCAAUUCCAGGUAAAACACGAGGCGUUCCCAGUGUGACUUCGAUCACGCAGCCACGGCAGCCAGGUAUAACAACGGGCUUGUGAGGUGCCUCGGACUACAAGGUUGCACGGUUUCAACAUCUGCGAAGUAGUUAGUGGUUUGCGCCUGCCAUUCUAGUCUUCACGGAUGUUCAUUGUGGCUUUCCAGGUUACUUGGAUAGGGACUCGGUGAUAUGCCCGCAUGCGGGUUUGGGCAGGGAACAUCACAAGAACUUACAAGACCAAGUGCUUGCGGCAUUUGCGAGUUUUCGCUCACUCAUGUUCGAGGGAAACAUGCUUGCGUGCAUGGGGAGGAUGGAUGCGUUUGACCUUAAGAAGCACCCAAAAUCCUAAAAUUGUAGAUCGCCUGUCGUCACACGCCAUGCCACGUGUGAAAAUGUCUGUUGUUUAGCUUAGUGAGAGGCAAGUAGGUCGGACUCGGGGGUCAGUUUCAGAGCAAUUGAGGGAAGGGCGUUGGGCCAUGAGACCAUGUGCCUAAUUAGCACCAUUGUCAAAAAUGGACGUUUUCCAAUUCCAGGUAAAACACGAGGCGUUCCCAGUGUGACUUCGAUCACGCAGCCACGGCAGCCAGGUAUAACAACGGGCUUGUGAGGUGCCUCGGACUACAAGUUGCACGGUUUCAACAUCUGCGAAGUAGUUAGUGGUUUGCGCCUGCCAUUCUAGUCUUCACAGAUGUUCAUUGUGGCUUUCCAGGUUACUUGGAUAGGGACUCGGUGAUAUGCCCGCAUGCGGGUUUGGGCAGGGAACAUCACAAGAACUUACAAGACCAAGUGCUUGCGGCAUUUGCGAGUUUUCGCUCACUCAUGUUCGAGGGAAAAUUGCUUGCGUGCAUGGGGAGGAUGGAUGCGUUUGACCUUAAGAAGCACCCAAAAUCCUAAAAUUGUAGAUCGCCUGUCGUCACACGCCAUGCCACGUGUGAAAAUGUCUGUUGUUUAGCUUAGUGAGAGGCAAGUAGGUCGGACUCGGGGGUCAGUUUCAGAGCAAUUGAGGGAAGGGCGUGGGGCCAUGAGACCAUGUGCCUAAUUAGCACCAUUGUCAAAAAUGGACGUUUUCCAAUUCCAGGUAAAACACGAGGCGUUCCCAGUGUGACUUCGAUCACGCAGCCACGGCAGCCAGGUAUAACAACGGGCUUGUGAGGUGCCUCGGACUACAAGUUGCACGGUUUCAACAUCUGCGAAGUAGUUAGUGGUUUGCGCCUGCCAUUCUAGUCUUCACAGAUGUUCAUUGUGGCUUUCCAGGUUACUUGGAUAGGGACUCGGUGAUAUGCCCGCAUGCGGGUUUGGGCAGGGAACAUCACAAGAACUUACAAGACCAAGUGCUUGCGGCAUUUGCGAGUUUUCGCUCACUCAUGUUCGAGGGAAAAUUGCUUGCGUGCAUGGGGAGGAUGGAUGCGUUUGACCUUAAGAAGCACCCAAAAUCCUAAAAUUGUAGAUCGCCUGUCGUCACACGCCAUGCCACGCGUGAAAAUGUCUGUUAUUUAGCUUAGUGAGAGGCAAGUAGGUCGGACUCGGGGGUCAGUUUCAGAGCAAUUGAGGGAAGGGGGUGGGGCCAUGAGACCAUGUGCCUAAUUAGCACCAUUGUCAAAAAUGGACGUUUUCCAAUUCCAGGUAAAACACGAGGCGUUCCCAGUGUGACUUCGAUCACGCAGCCACGGCAGCCAGGUAUAACAACGGGCUUGUGAGGUGCCUCGGACUACAAGUUGCACGGUUUCAACAUCUGCGAAGUAGUUAGUGGUUUGCGCCUGCCAUUCUAGUCUUCACAGAUGUUCAUUGUGGCUUUCCAGGUUACUUGGAUAGGGACUCGGUGAUAUGCCCGCAUGCGGGUUUGGGCAGGGAACAUCACAAGAACUUACAAGACCAAGCGCUUGCGGCAUUUGCGAGUUUUCGCUCACUCAUGUUCGAGGGAAAAUUGCUUGCGUGCAUGGGGAGGAUGGAUGCGUUUGACCUUAAGAAGCACCCAAAAUCCUAAAAUUGUAGAUCGCCUGUCGUCACACGCCAUGCCACGUGUGAAAAUGUCUGUUGUUUAGCUUAGUGAGAGGCAAGUAGGUCGGACUCGGGGGUCAGUUUCAGAGCAAUUGAGGGAAGGGCGUUGGGCCAUGAGACCAUGUGCCUAAUUAGCACCAUUGUCAAAAAUGGACGUUUUCCAAUUCCAGGUAAAACACGAGGCGUUCCCAGUGUGACUUCGAUCACG